rnacentral:hammerhead_ribozyme from 1 species
AUCCAGCUGACGAGCCCCAAAUAGGACGAGACGCACGUUAUGGAU